GAGUUUGAACCUGGCUCAGGAUGAACGCUGGCGGCGUGCCUAAUACAUGCAAGUCGAGCGAACCACUUCGGUGGUGAGCGGCGAACGGGUGAGUAACACGUAGGUGAUCUGCCCAUCAGACGGGGACAACGAUUGGAAACGAUCGCUAAUACCGGAUAGGACGAAAGUUUAAAGGUGCUUCUGGCACCGCUGAUGGAUGAGCCUGCGGCGCAUUAGCUAGUUGGUAGGGUAAAGGCCUACCAAGGCGACGAUGCGUAGCCGACCUGAGAGGGUGAACGGCCACACUGGGACUGAGACACGGCCCAGACUCCUACGGGAGGCAGCAGUAGGGAAUCUUCGGCAAUGGGCGAAAGCCUGACCGAGCAACGCCGCGUGAAUGAUGAAGGCCUUCGGGUUGUAAAAUUCUGUUAUAAGGGAAGAACGACUUUAGUAGGAAAUGGCUAGAGUGUGACGGUACCUUAUGAGAAAGCCACGGCUAACUAC
rnacentral:rRNA from 1 species